AGCUACAUCCGUCACCUGACACGGCCCUACCAGGAACAGCCGCGCUCCCGCGGAUUCUGGUGCUGCUCGCGUCCCCGCUCCCCUAUUCCCCUUAUUUUAUUCCUGGCUCCCCUCGUCGAAAGUCUUCCAUUCUUCAAACUAGAUUAUUUAAAAAUGAAAAAGGAAGAAAGGAAAGCGAGGUCAUCUCAUUGCUCUAUCCGCCAAUCAGGAGGCUGAAUGUCAGUUUUGAACUAAAAGCCGCUCCGCUCCUCUUCUAGAUUUGGAAAACAAGCGAAAUUAAACUAAACCGCUGCACGCCUCUGACGCGACAUCUGGACACGGCGCGGCGCUGGCGCUGCCGGAGCUGCGGGCCCGGCCUGGCGCCGGACUAGUGUCCCUUUUGAUGAGAAGAAUAAGCCUCAUUCUGAUUCAACAGCAGAGAUCAAAGAAAAGACUUCUGUUUUCUGGCCACCAGAUAUAUGUUAUCUGUGCUUAAAGAAUUGAAAAACACACAUCAAAGGAGAAUUCUCUUGGAAAGAGAGGGUUCAAGCAUCACUGUUAGGUGUGCUGGAAUCCUUUCCCGAGUCAGUACUGCUUUCUAGAAGAAAACCGGGGAGAUCUAUUUGGAAUGUAUCUAACUCCAAAGAAACCAUCAGAGGUAACAGCUAUAUGUCUCACAGUCCAGACUUGGAGUACAAGUAAUAAGAAGAAUAAAACUUAAUCCCUUAAGUAGAUUCACCAUAAGUUAGCUCAGAGCAAUUCCAGUGCAAGUAUGGUCUGUGAUCCAAUAGUAUCUUACAGACAGCAAGUUGAACACUGUGGGAUGCUUAAGCUAUUGAGGCCUUUGCAGCUUUCUGCUACAUGGAGGCUAGGGCCAGAGUCAAGAUUUAUGCUUUGCAGCACACUGGUCAUCUGUUUUUGCAAAUCAGAUUAAAUGAUUUGUAAAUGAGGCUGAGAGCAUGGGAGAUACUAAUGUGUGUUUCCUUGUGAGCUACUGCAUAAGUUAGGAAAUUGAAAUACAGAAAGAUGAAAAUUGAUUUGCCCAAGCAUAUAGAUCAAAGCUGUGGCAGAACCAGGACUGGAACCUAUAUCUCUCUACUAACGGUUUUUAAAAAAAAAUAACCUUGUUUCAAAAAUAUUAAAAAGUCACAAGAAAGGUAAACAUGUGGAUAAACAAAAUGAGGAAAAUAAAAAUUAUCCAGUAAUAACAUAUUGGCAUACAUCUUUCUGGUAUAUUUUCCUGUGUUGUCAUUAUCAUCUCCAUCAUCAUUAUAUCCAUCAUUAUCAUCAUCAUCAUCGUCACCAUCAUCAUCAUCAUUAUCAUCACCAUAGCGAACACAUAAUGCUUACCUAGUGCCAGAUGCUGUCUAGGCAUUUUACAUGUGUUACUGGUAACUCAUGUAAUCCUCAUAACAACCUUAUAAGGUGGUUGCUAUUAUCCCCAUGUUACAUAUGAAGAGACAGAAGCAUAAAGAAGUUGCACAGCUAGUAAUUGGCUGGGAUUUGAACUUAAGCAGUCUAACCUUAGAGUAAUGAUUUUAACAACUAUGCUAUAUACAUACAAAUUUACAAAAUAAAACUGGGCUCAGACAAUAAAAA